GCCCCGAUAGCUCAACUGGAUAGAGCGCCUGACUUCGGAUCAGGAUGUUGGGGGUUCGAAUCCUCCUCGGGGCG
rnacentral:tRNA from 1 species